rnacentral:lncRNA from 1 species
CAUUGUUAUCACAACAGAGCAAUGAUUUUAGUUCAUUGUAAUAGUCUGUAAUACCUUCUUGUACUAUGUGUUUUCCUGUAUGAUUCAAUGUUGUGUUUGUUACUAGAUGGAUAUUCUGGGAAUAUGCCCAACCCGGUAUCAGCGAAAAGGUCCUGUUCUUGUGAAGACCCGGGACUUAAACCUCUGCUCUCAUCGGUAUUCUGGUUUUACUUCUGUGCAGUCUGUUGCUCUUCCUCAUAUGUCGUCUGAGCAGCAGAUCCUGUCCUCCAAACUAGAAUGUGUUCAGAGCUUUAAGGAUGGAAUCCUGGCAGAGGCCAAAUGCACUGACUCCAACCUCGUAAUGCCAUUCUCUAAGAAGGGCGGUGGGGCAAAGACACAGACACAGUCUUCACUGAAACUCCUUCAGGUGGAAGCAGACACACUGUACAAAAAAGUGGACUCUAAGGAUCUAUAUGUGACCAACAUGCUAUAUGAAAUGGAGCAAACUGAGAUACAAUUCACUACAGAGGAAGUGACUGAAUUAGUACAGAAGCUCUGCUUAGCUCAUAGUGUGAGACUGGAGACUGCAGACCUUUUCAUGACUCUUGUGUUUGAGCUUCGACAUCUUUCUCUUAAGGCCUUAAAAGUGCUAUGGCAAAGAUCUUCACUUAAAUGCAGAGAUAACUGGCAGCCCCUAAUAGAUGCUCUCCCCUCGUGUGCUACGGAAGCAUGUGUUCUCCUAAUGAAAGAAAUUAUAGCCUCUGGAGAAGCUGAGGAAGACAAAGUGGAGUCUUUCCUUUGGUCGUUUUCAUUCAUGCCUAAGCCCACCUCUGGCAUGAUCGAAUCUCUUGCUGUGAGCAGACCGGUUUUUAAUUUAUUGUCAAAUCUAGCUAGGUCGUAAUUUUUGUAUUUUAUGUACUAGUCUUGCAGAUUUAUACAAAGCUCCACCUGUACAGGUAGCUUGAACAACGUGGAGGUGAAAAUACUGGCUAAUUUAAUCUCGAUUCCAG